rnacentral:miRNA from 2 species
AAGAAAACGGAUGCGCGUGCUA